rnacentral:tRNA from 1 species
GGGUGAUUAGCUCAGCUGGGAGAGCACCUCCCUUACAAGGAGGGGGUCGGCGGUUCGAACCCGUCAUAGCUCA